CUGGAAACCAGCCACCGUCGCGUGCAGGAAGACGGCCCUAUGGGUUGUAAACUGCUUUCACCCUUGGGAAAAAGUGCCCUACGUGUAGGUUUUUGUAGGUACCCCCCCGAAUACGGACCGGCUAAUUCCAAUGCCAGCAGCCGCGGUAAUAAUGA
rnacentral:rRNA from 1 species